GGACGGCAGCACGGGAGCAAUCAUGGUGGCGAGUGGCGAACGGGUGAGUAAUACAUCGGAACGUGUCCUGGAGUGGGGGAUAGCCCGGCGAAAGCCGGAUUAAUACCGCAUACGCUCUGAGGAGGAAAGCGGGGGAUCUUUCGGGACCUCGCGCUCAAGGGGCGGCCGAUGGCAGAUUAGGUAGUUGGUGGGGUAAAGGCCUACCAAGCCGACGAUCUGUAGCUGGUCUGAGAGGACGACCAGCCACACUGGGACUGAGACACGGCCCAGACUCCUACGGGAGGCAGCAGUGGGGAAUUUUGGACAAUGGGGGCAACCCUGAUCCAGCAAUGCCGCGUGUGUGAAGAAGGCCUUCGGGUUGUAAAGCACUUUUGUCCGGGAAGAAAUCCCUUUCGAUAAUACCGGAGGGGGAUGACGGUACUGGAAGAAUAAGCACCGGCUAACUACGUGCCAGCAGCCGCGGUAAU
rnacentral:rRNA from 1 species